CUCCCGACAGAUUGACUGAUCUUGAUUCUUGAGCAUGAAAGAGCUCAAGUCCUCGCAGCCAUCAUAGUGAUUCAGCGAGAAAACAGAAGAAAGAAGUAGAGAUCUCAAAAGUCAAUUGGACAGGAUAAAAAACACCCAACAAGACAGACCUCUUCAAAAAGAAUCCACCCAGGCAGAAGUGGAAAAGUACAAAGAGCUCUAGCUGGUGGAAGCAAAAACCAGAAAAAGCCUAGCCAAGAAACUGGAAAGAGCUGAUGAGAGACUUGCAGAGGCCGACAUCGAGCUCUUUUGGGAGCGCCAUAGAAGCAAAUCUGCAGUCACAAGCAGCGCUGUCAGCAUACAUCUGGCUGCAAGUCCACUUCUGGAUCCAGCUGGCCUGGGAUAUCUUGGCAACAGUUUGGGACUGAACAGAAGUCUGGGUCUCAGAACACCACCCAGACAUCUGUGGUAAAGCCGAAGACUUUAGGUCAUCUGUAGCAGUUUGAAACUCGGAUAUCAGCACAAAAGGAUUAUGUAGCAGGCCAUGGACCAACAGGGGCUGAAAGAAAGCCCACCACCUGAGGACUGCAUGCUUCUUCACAAGACCUACUGAUAUUUAACUAUGUUGAUCGGCCUGGCUCCUGCAGCAAGAUAUGGAAAGACUUUGUGAUGAUGAUAUCAGACUACGUAGAAACCCCUUUGUUCUCUCCCCCCCAUGUAAUCCUUGUUACAGGAAAUAUUAAACAAUUGUGUGACUGUAGCAGAAAAUUGUGUAAUCCUCUAGUUAGCAUAAUCCAUCCCCAGCUUAGCAUAAUCCAUCCUCCUCAUAAACAUGUCCUGCCCCCAAGACCCUUAAAUUGUGAGAUGCGUGUUCAAUAAAGAUUCCAGUUUUCACCCCCAAA